CUAUUCAGUCACGAUCCUUCUACUUCUCCACACUCAUCUCCUCCAAAUGCUCCGUCAGUGGCGCCUCUCAGCCUUGCACCGCCGUCGCACCGAAGCUCCGUCACACUCCUUCCCGGAUCUUCUCCCUGUGUUGCUCGCGUCUCUCCUUUCAAACCCUAACCUGCAAUCUGCUAAUUUAGCCAAAGUUUGGAGGUUAGAUUUUCAAUUUCAUGCAAUUAAUUUCUCUUAUUCCAAUAGAUCUUCUCUGUCACACUCUCUUCGUUCCUUCUCCUCCUCCGCCGCCGCCUCUGCUGCCAUUGUUCGGUCGUUCGCCCACUACCUCGCACCACAACAACCACCACUAGAACCACAAGUUUCUGGAUUCCAAUACCUUCUUUGGAAGCUGGCAGCCUCCGUAGGACCCGAAGGAGGCUGAGGCGAAGCUGGCGAUGCUCCGAAGUGGCUACGCGAAGCAGGUGAAGGAGGUUCGCAAUCUGUACAUCCACGAAAUGGAGCUGCUUCAGAUCGAGAAGGAGCUCAAGGACGAAGCUUGCAGAGAAUCCCUUAGAGUUGCCAAUGAGGAGCGCAAGAAGCUCAAGGCCGAAGCUGCGCAGAUUAGGGCUCCGAAGCGAAUUAAAGAUCGCACAACAAGAAUUCAGAGAAACACUCCUAUUUGAUGGUCACAAUGGAACUGCUGCUGCUAUUUAUGCCAAGGAGAAUCUUCUAAACAACAUUUUAAGUGCAAUUCCUUCAGAUCUUAAUAGAGAUGAGUGGAUAGCAGCAUUGCCCAGGGCUUUGGUUGUAGGAUUUGUGAAAACUGACAAAGAUUUUCAACAGAAAGUACUUCUGGAAUAUUCUGAGUAUUGCCAAAUGCGCUUGCACAUGCCCAAUUCCAGAAGUUAGCAAAUUAAAGAAUAAAAUGGUAUAUUGACUAUCUGUUUUUGGGAGAUUAUGUUGAUAGAGGACAGCACAGCUUGGAAACCAUUACCUUGCUGCUUGCACUUAAGAUUGAGUAUCCUGAGAAUGUUCACCUGAUACGUGGUAACCAUGAAGCUGCUGACAUAAAUGCACUAUUUGGUUUUCGUAUUGACUGCAUUGAAAGGAUGAACAAAAGCAUUGCUGAGUGUGGUUCUUUAGUUGUAAGCACUCCAAAUCAUUGAAAAAGCCUCAGGUGCCUUCUUCCUGUAUUUGUAGAACUUCUCUCAAGAGCUUCAAAAGCUUGAGGAGUAUCGCAUGAACCAGAAAUCCAUUGAUUCAAUGUUGAAUGGAACUUAUAGGGUGAUUACAUCAAAGGCCAAGUAAUAGGGUAUCUGGAUCAGUUUGGCACUUCACUUCCUGUUAAGGUGAUCAGAAAUUGCAACAGAGAUUACAACAAGUGUAGCAAGUAGCAAAACCUUUUACACUGAUUCCAAUGGACGCGAUUUCAUCGAAAGGAUUCGAGACUAUAAAAAAGACUGGAAAUUGCAAGUAAAUCAACUUGUUGCUGGAAAUUAUUACCCUAUCAACCUUGGGAUUUACCUGAAAGAUAAAAGUAAAGAGCUCUCUAUAUUGGUAGAUAGGUCUGUGGGGGGAUCCAGCAUCAAAGAUCGGCAAUUAGAACUAAUUGUUAAAUUCCUCUGAAGUGAGUUGCCCCAUUUCUACUAGUGCAUUGUAUAGCUUAUUGGCUGAUUGAAAAUAGCUUAAUUGUUCUUAGUUGGGAUCUAUGGAAAUCAUUACUCCUUGCCUUGUAUAUUAGAAUUGUUCCUAGUCCUAGUCCUAGAAAUUGAUUUUGCAACUUCUAAAAAUUUUUGUUGGAAGUCCAUGAAUUAAAAUAUAGAGAAGGCCAAAUUUUUAUUUUCAACUUUUGAAUUGAGAACUAAUUUACUAGUUUCAUUUCAUGGCAAAUUAGUUCAUUCAUAUGGUCCCUUUAAGCUGCUGGAAGCACCCCACAACUGAUGGCAAGAAGCAUGAGCACCUGAAAUUGCUUCUGUGCAGAUUGAAUGGAGCGUCAGUGUGACUCAUUAAGGAAUGUUGAUUCUGCUCGUAUUUUAAAUCCCCAGCACCUUUUACUGCUGAUAUCAGGCAAGAAGUGUAGCCCUUUUCCAAUUGCAUUAAGAGAUAUAAAGCAACACGACAUUACUCAAAGCAUGCGCGGGAUACUAGUUGAUUGGCUUGUAGAGAUUUGCAUAAUGUAAUUUUUCUCAAAUAAUACAAUGUUAUGAAUUAUAGCUGAUUAAUUUAGUACGGUUGAACAAUACACUGAGGAUUAUAGUUGAUGUAUUAAUACACUUCGUUUAUGUUUUGAUAAUACGAUGAAUUUUAUUUUUUGAAA